UACGUAGGGGGCAAGCGUUGUCCGGAAUCAUUGGGCGUAAAGCGCGUGUAGGCGGCUCUGCAAGUCGGAUGUGAAAGCCCUGGGCUCAACCCAGGAAGUGCACUCGAUACUGCAGAGCUUGAGUAUCGGAGAGGUUGGUGGAAUUCUCGGUGUAGAGGUGAAAUUCGUAGAUAUCAAGAGGAACACCAGUGGCGAAGGCGAGUCCCUGGACGAUACCUGACACUGAGGCACGAAAGCUAGGGGAGCAAACAGG
rnacentral:rRNA from 1 species